AUUUAAAGCAGCUAUCCACAAAUACACUUCCUGUUUGAAGAAGGAGAGUUUAGUAAAAGCUACUUGAUGAAGGCACACAAGUUGCCACCAGUUAAAAAAGACUGAAUGCACAUUCAGCUGUCACUGAAGUCUAGGACUCAGCUGUGCACUAUGCACCUUCUCCUCUGCUCCUUUGUGAGAGAAUGCCAGGCAUGAGCCUCAAGAAAGAACCAGAAGUCACUCUGAAGAAGUGAAAGCUUGGACAGACAAGAGAAAACUGAAGAAAAUAAAGGACCUUCCCCUGGAGAAGAGAAGGAGAAAAACUUUUUAACUCAUAAGGAGAACACAAAUAUUCAUUGCAAUGACAAUAUCAGUCACAAGAAAAGCUAAGCAUCAUCUCCAGUAAGCUGUGGUACUUUAUUGCUUCCUUUGAAGAACUGCAGAGAUUGGGCAUAGCAAGAAUAGCAUCUACGACCUGAAAGCUUUCCACCCAGCUGCUGCUGCUUCUGGCCCCUCUCAGGACAGAGCUCAGGCCUUCUCAACAAUAAACUGAAACACCAGUGUUGCUGUCUUUGAGUUUGUGGCCCUCUUUCUGUGUGUGGCCCUAGGGAGCCUCAAGAUAAAUGUCUUCAGCCAUGCUGCUCCUGCUUCAGCCGUUCUGUUUGGCUUUACAAUUUACACCCUUUUUCUACAGACCAUAAUUUACACCCUUUUUCACCAUCCCCACAGUUGGAGAUUCCCAACUCCAGCUGUGGGGACGGUGAGCUGCCCCCAGUCAUGUGCUUUGUGUUUGGGUUUGUUGUUCGGCCGGGUACUAAGGAAAGUCAAUCUCCCUCAGGAUCCUGAGGAGGACACAGAUCCAUGAUGUCCCAAUUCCUUGUCUCUGCCUUGGUGGAAAUCUUGGGGUAAGAUUUCAUGUGAUAUGGGUACCUCAGCCUGACAGACACUUUAUAUAAACUGUGAUAAGAUUGAAUUCAAAUCCUAGACUCAAAAUCCCUCUAAAUAUUGAAGGGUUUAAAGCCAAGAGGAAAAAAAAAUAUGCAAUAAUGUGUUAACACUCACAGAAUGAAAGGUGUAACAUGACAACCAAAUAAGUUAAAUAUCAAUGCUAGCAGAAAAAUCUGAUCAAAUUAAGUUAGCAGAAAAGUCUGAUUAAAUUAAAUCUCUCAAAUGAAAAAUCCAGUUCUGCCUUAAUAAUCUUUGGGACCUGAGUUCACCCAAGAGCACAUGUUCUUUUCUUGUCUUUCAGACACUAAAUUUGUUUUGUAGUUUAAUUAUAUCAAUUGCCUUUUCUGUGACAAUUCUGUACAAUGCUUUCCUCUCCUUGUAUCUUAUCAUUUUCUAUUGCUCAUUAAAGCCUUUAAUGCUUUCUAAUACUAAUAGGAAAACCAAAACAAUGUCACUUUUCAUAGUUUCAAUGGUUACCUUUUUUUACUGCUGAACACAGUGGCAGUUCAGAGAAAAUUUCCUAUCAGUCUUGGUAGUAUUGCAAGUUUCCAACAAAACAGAGCACUUUGUCAG